rnacentral:sRNA from 1 species
GCCGGUAGAGCUUAAACCCACACACGUAUCGACACGGUGACCUGGGUGCUUGUAGAGAGACUCUGCAAGUUGGUCAUUGGGAUGCGUGGAGGCCUAAC